AGCAGCCGCGGUAAUUCCAGCUCCAAUAGCGUAUAUUAAAGUUGUUGCUGUUAAAAAGCUCGUAGUUGAAUUUCGGGAUUGACACAUCGGUCGUGCCUUAAGGGGUAUGAACUGGUGUAGUCAAUUUCUCACCUUCUGGAGAACCGCGAUGCCCUUAAUUGGGUGUCGCGGGGAACCAGGACCUUUACUUUGAAAAAAUUAGAGUGUUUAAAGCAGGCAUUUUGCUUGAAUACAUUAGCAUGGAAUAAUAAAAUAGGACGGCAUGAUUCUAUUUUGUUGGUUUCUAGGAUCACCGUAAUGAUUAAUAGGGAUAGUUGGGGGCAUUAGUAUUCAAUUGUCAGAGGUGAAAUUCUUGGAUUUAUUGAAGACUAACUACUGCGAAAGCAUUUGCCAAGGAUGUUUUCAUUAAUCAAGAACGAAAGUUAGGGGAUCGAAGACGAUCAGAUACCGUCGUAGUCUUAACCAUAAACUAUGCCGACUAGGAAUCAGACGAUGUUAAUUUUUUAAUGACUCGUUUGGC
rnacentral:rRNA from 1 species